rnacentral:rRNA from 1 species
UACGUAGGGGGCAAGCGUUGUCCGGAUUUAUUGGGCGUAAAGAGCGUGUAGGCGGCCAGACAGGUCCGUUGUGAAAACUCGAGGCUCAACCUCGAGAUGUCGAUGGAAACCGUCUGGCUAGAGUCCGGAAGAGGAGUGUGGAAUUCCUGGUGUAGCGGUGAAAUGCGUAGAUAUCGGGAGGAACACCUGAGAUGUAGAUGGCUUACUGGACCGUAACUGACGCUGAGGCACGAAAGCGUGGGUAGCAAACAGG